rnacentral:rRNA from 1 species
AGAGUUUGAUCCUAGCUCAGGAUGAACGUUGGCGGUGCGUCUAAUACAUGCAAGUCGAGCGAGAAAUUUGAAUUUAUUCAAAUGGAAAGCGGCGGACGAGCGAGUAAUACAUAAGAACUUGCCCUUCACUCAGGGAUAACCCACCGAAAGGUGGACUAAUACCGGAUGCCCUCGUAAGAGGAAAGAUUUAUCGGUGAAGGAGAGGCUUAUGGCCUAUCAGUUUGUUGGCGGGGUAAAAGCCCACCAAGGCUAUGACGGGUACCUGGUGUGAGAGCACGACCAGGCGCGAUGGGACUGAGACACGGCCCAUACUCCUACGGGAGGCAGCAGUAGAGAAUCUUCCGCAAUGGACGAAAGUCUGACGGAGCGACACCGCGUGAAGGAUGAAGGCCUUAGGGUUGUAAACUUCUUUUAUGGGGGAAGAAAAUCUGACGGUACCCCAUGAAUAAGGUCCGGCUAAUUACGUGCCAGCAGCCGCGGUAAUACGUAAGGGCCAAACGUUAUCCGGAAUUAUUGGGCGUAAAGCGUCCGCAGGUGGUGCAGAAAGUUUGUCAUUAAAUACCAGUGCUUAACAUUGGUGCCGUGGCGAAAACUUCUGUACUUGAGGAUGGGAGAGGUAUAUGGAAUUGUGCAAGUAGGGGUAAAAUCCGUAGAUAUGCACAGGAACACCAAAAGCGAAGGCAGUAUACUGGACCAUUCCUGACACUCAGGGACGAAAGCGUGGGGAGCAAAAGGGAUUAGAUACCCCUGUAGUCCACGCCGUAAACUAUGCAUGCUCGGUGUAGAGAACCUAGACCUGUUCUCUGUGCCCAAGUUAACACGUUAAGCAUGCCGCCUGUGUAGUACGAGCGCAAGCUUAAAACACAAAGGAAUAGACGGGGACCCACACAAGCGGUGGAUCGCGGGGUUUAAUUCGUUAAUCAGCGAAUAACCUUACCCAGGUUUGACAUCCUUAUCGUAUUCUUUAGAAAUAGAGAAGUCAGUUCGGCUGGAUAAGUGACAGGCGCUGCAUGGUUGCCGUCAGCUCGUGCCUUGAGGUGUUCGGUUAAGUCCGUAAACGAGCGCAACCCUCAUCAUAUGUUGUAUUUUCAUAUGAGACUGCCCAGCCCUUUUUUCUUGAAUUAUUUUAAUUACUUAAAAUAUUUUUCGAGGGAAGAGGGCUGGGAGGAAGGUGAGGAUGACGUCAAAUCAGCAUGGCCCUUAUACCUGGGGCUACACCCACGAUACAAUGGCGAGCUACAAACCGAAGCGAAGCAGUAAUGCCUAGCCAAUCGGAUAAAACUCGUCUCAGUUCGGAUUGAGGUCUGCAACUCGACCUCAUGAAGCCGGAAUCGCUAGUAACCGUAUAUCAGUCAUGGUACGGUGAAUAUGUUCCUGGGUCUUGUACUCACCGCCCGUCAAGGCAUGGGAGUUGGGGGAGCCCGAAGUCUGCUUAAUAAAAGUGGCCUAAGGCUAAACCAAUGACUGGGCUUAAGUCGUAACAAGGUAUCCGUACGGGAAUGUGCGGAUG